UAGCUGAAAAGAAAAGUGAAAUGGGAAAUGCAAGUCAUGGAUAGUAACUUGUAUCAGAAUGUAGCGCGCACAUACACACUUACCGGAUUUAGAUUAUUGCAUUGAUCGAUUGGAUUUUUAUACCCAGUUUUUAACUCGUCAAAUGUAAUAACCUGGAAAUUUUGAUAUGUUGCUUUUUUUUCUUUAAAACAAAAAACAAAGUAUAUAAUCACUUGAAACAAGUAUAUAAUCUAACAUUAGAGCGAAAGAGAACGAAGGUCUUGUGCAGCACCAGUUCAGUUAAAAAGAAUACGUUUGUAAUAAUUGCACAUUAACAUAAUGAGAACGAUGUGUUUAUAUCACUCGUUAAUACAAGGUUAUACGAGGAUACAAAGCCGGUUGAGAGUCACCAUUGCUUUUUAGUGCGUCACGCGACACGUACGUGAAAAAUUGCAAAAAAUAUGAGAAACGCAUCGCCGAUUAAUGCUACGAUGUACGAAAAAGCGGCUAGAUUCAACGCCAUUCUGUAUGUUGACAAAAGGUACCAAUCGGUCAAACAUGAAUCCGGUAUCAGUGUUAAACGAAUCUUACUCUGAAGCAUGAGAAUGGCCACCAGCCUAAUUUCAAUGGCCAGAGCUAGACGCUAAAGUCACUUGAUAUAAUGGCUGCAUUCAGCAGACUCAACAGUUGCACAACAGUUGAGUAAUUUGUCAAUGUAAUUGGUCUAGAUUUAGGGAUCUAAUAGCAAGAACCAAUAAUCGUUGAUUGCUCACUGAGCGCUUUUUCUACUGAAUGCGCCCAAUCAUUCAUUUCUAUCCUGGAGAGGGAAAUAAAGGCUCUCUAUAGGUAACACCUAAAUUUUGACAAGGCCAUUAAGAGCCGAUGCUGGAUGUUUUUGCAAAUAUCUAUGAUGGGGAGGAUAAUAAUAUUUGUCGUGUCAAACGCACACAUCGAAAUGAUUUUCUUUAUAACAUACGCGAUGAAUCAAUUUUCCACUAACAACCGACCCUAAAUCUCCUAAUAUUUUUCUAUAAUUAUUAAAAACCCUUAUUUUAAUAUUCUCCACUGCGCAU